rnacentral:rRNA from 1 species
GACGAACGCUGGCGGCGUGCCUAAUACAUGCAAGUCGAACGCAGUGGGGACGGGUGAGUAAAACGUGGGUAACCUCCCAUCAGAGGGGAUAACACUUGGAAACAGGUGCUAAACCGAUACUGAUGGCUGAACCCGCGGUGCAUUUGCUAGUUGGUGAGGUAACGGCUCACCAAGGCCACGAUGCAUAGCCGACCCGAGAGGGGGAUCCGCCACCCUUGGACUGGGGCAAGGGCCAGACCCCCACGGGAGGGAGCAGUAGGGAAUCUUUGGACAUGGACGGAAGUCUGACCGAGCACAGCCGCGGGAGUGAAGGAGGGUCUCGGAGCGUAAAGCUCUGUUCUUAGAGAAGCGGUACCUAACCAGAAAGGGACGGCUAACUACGUGCCAGCAGCCGCGGUAAUUC